rnacentral:rRNA from 1 species
GACAUAGGGCGCGAGCGUUGUCCGGAUUUAUUGGGCGUAAAGAGCUCGUAGGCGGCUUGUUGCGUCGACUGUGAAAACCCGCGGCUUAACUGCGGGCUUGCAGUUGAUACGGGCAGGCUAGAGUUCGGUAGGGGAGACUGGAAUUCCUGGUGUAGCGGUGAAAUGCGCAGAUAUCAGGAGGAACACCGGUGGCGAAGGCGGGUCUCUGGGCCGAUACUGACGCUGAGGAGCGAAAGCGUGGGGAGCGAACAGG